rnacentral:rRNA from 1 species
GAUGAACGGCUGGCGGCGUGCCUAACACAUGCAAGUCGAACGGACCUUGCUCAACAGAGGUACCUGUACCGAAGGAGAGCGCUGGUUAGUGGCGGACGGGUGAGUAACACGUGGGUAAUUAACCUUCCGGACCGGGAUAACAUCGGGAAACUGGUGCUAAUACCGGAUACGAUUCACGGGCGGCAUCGCCUGUGGAUGAAAAGAGGCCUCUCGAAGAAGCUCCUGCUGGAAGACAAGCCCGCGGCUGAUUAGCUAGUUGGUAAGGUAACGGCUUACCAAGGCAACGAUCAGUAGCCGGCCUGAGAGGGUGAACGGCCACACUGGGACUGAGACACGGCCCAGACUCCUACGGGAGGCAGCAGUGGGGAAUUUUGGACAAUGGGCGAAAGCCUGAUCCAGCGACGCCGCGUGGAGGAAGAAGUCCUUCGGGAUGUAAACUCAUGAAGCUAACGAAUAAGACGGAAGGGGAACCUUCCGGGAGAAGGUAAUUAGUGAAAAGCCCCGGCUAACUACGUG